rnacentral:lncRNA from 10 species
AAUCAAGCCCGGGCAAUGGCGGGCGCCCCUCCCCCAGCCUCGCUGCCGCCUUGCAGUUGGAUCUCAGACUGCUGUGCUAGCAAUCAGCGAGACUCCGUGGGCGUAGGACCCUCCGAGCCAGGUGUGGGAUAUAAUCUCGUGGUGCGCCGUUUUUUAAGCGGGUCUGAAAAACGCAAUAUUCGGGUGGGAGUGACUCGAUUUUCCAGGUGCGUCCGUCACCCCUUUCUUUGACUCAGAAAGGGAACUCCCUGACCCCUUGCGCUUCCCAAGUGAGGCAAUGCCUCGCCCUGCUUCGGCUCGCGCACCCACUGACCUGCGCCCACUGUCUGGCACUCCCUAGUGAGAUGAACCCGGUACCUCAGAUGGAAAUGCAGAAAUCACCCGUCUUCUGCGUCGCUCAUGCUGGGAGCUGUAGACCGGAGCUGUUCCUAUUUGGCCAUCUUGGCUCCUCCCCCCAGGACCUAAAUAUUAGGAUUCUGGAAACCAAAAUGGAGGAAAUGAUGAUAAGACUAAGAAUGCUGAGAGGAACUAUUUAAAUGUUUUACCUGGGGAAUUUUAUAUUACACGGCAUUCU